rnacentral:rRNA from 1 species
UGGGGAAUAUUGCGCAAUGGGGGAAACCCUGACGCAGCAACGCCGCGUGCGGGAUGAAGGCUUUCGGGUUGUAAACCGCUUUCAGCAGGGAAGAUAGUGACGGUACCUGCAGAAGAAGCCCCGGCUAAAUACGUGCCAGCAGCCGCGGUAAUACGUAUGGGGCGAGCGUUAUCCGGAUUCAUUGGGCGUAAAGCGCGCGCAGGCGGGCUGCUAAGCGGGACCUCUAAUCUCGGGGCUCAACCCCGAGCCGGGUUCCGAACUGGCAGCCUCGGGUUCGGUAGGGGUAGGCGGAAUUCCCGGUGU